ACUACGGGUGGCAGCAGUGAGGAAUAUUGGUCAAUGGGCGCGAGCCUGAACCAGCCAAGUAGCGUGAAGGAUGACUGCCCUACGGGUUGUAAACUUCUUUUAUAAAGGAAUAAAGUGAGGCACGUGUGCCUGUUGGUAAGUACUUUAUGAAUAAGGAUCGGCUAACUCCGUGCCAGCAGCCGCGGUAAUACGGAGGAUCCGAGCGUUAUCCGGAGUUAUUGGGUUUAAAGGGAGAGUAGAUGGGUUGUUAAGUCAGUUGUGAAAGUUUGCGGCUCAACCGUAAAAUUGCAAUUGAUACUGGCAGUCUUGAGUACAGUUGAGGUAGGCGGAAUGCGUGGUGUAGCGGUGAAAUGCUUAGAUAUCACGAAGAACUCCGAUUGCGAAGGCAGCUUACUAAACUGCCACUGACAUUGAUGCUCGAAAGUGUGGGUAUCAAACAGGAUUAGAUACCCUAGUAGUC
rnacentral:rRNA from 1 species